AAUCUGUUUUGAAAUUUUCAUGUGUACAUACUUUAUUUGGUGGUCAGGUUUGGAGAUUUCGCAUUAUUUUGUUAGUACAAGCUUUCAUGGUUAGUCCUAUCUUUGCUAGCCAAGGCUUUGAUUGGCUUACACUCCCCUUGGCAUACCGUAUAGAUAUAGUGAUGUUGUUCCGACGCACCCUGGAAUCUCGGGGCAUCCAAUCAAAUUAUGUCUUACAUUCAGACUUGGUAUCGCAGUAAACGAAAAUUGUGGCAGUACCCAGUACAAAGCUACCUUGUUGACUAUGUCAUAUGGCAUUUUACCUAAAAACACAGAUGAACAAUAUUUGGGGGAAAUAUUUGAAGUGCUCGAUCAAUUGAUAGAAGUUAAUGAUCACAUAUUUCAUCAGAAUGAUGAGCCUCCAUUUGUGUUUGUUAUAUCACCGAUGAAGUACAUCUGCAACGUCGAAAUUUCAGGUGCAAAGAUGACCAGAGCUGACGACUAUAUCUGCCAAGGGUUUGUGGAGAGUAAUGUAAUCAAAAGCUUGGCUAGUCCAUGCAAGAAAAAUACAAAAAUAGCAACUAUGGAAACAACAAAAGUUUAUACACAAUGAAUGUUUCAUGUUCAAUGUACAGUACCUAUAUGCCAAAUUUAGAGGACGAGUUAGAAAUAUUCACAUCUCAAAACAUACAUGUACAUAUAUAUAUGAUAUUACUUUAUCUGUUAGGUGACACCAUAUCCUCCUUCUCCUAUAUUUGUACUGAAACACAUUACCUAGGUCCAAAAGUGAAGUUUUGCUUAGAGAGACAUUAAAAAAAGAAAAAUUACCAACGUGGACACGAAGUAUAUUCCGAAAUUAGUGUAUUAAGUGCAGAUUUAUUUGUAGCUUUCGCAUCAGAGGGAAUAAAAGCAAACCUGCACUCUCCAACCUAUAUUAUAGACACUUUAGUACCUGUUUACUACCGUAGUUACUCUGUGCUGUUCAACAUCCAAUCAACAUAUCAUUUGGCUCAAUUACAGAUGCUGCCUACAGCAAUGGAGCCAUCGUGUCAUUUCACUUAAGUUUAAUGUCACGGUCACUUUGGCAUCACCUCUCUACUUGUGACACCAGUAUAGACACCUCUCUACUUGUGACACGGUAUAGACACCUCUACAUCGGACACCGUUAUAUACACCUCUACUUCUGACACCGGUAUAAACACCUCUACUUCUGACACCGGUUUAAACACCUCUACUUCUGACACCGGUAUAAACACCUCUCUACUUCUGACACUGGUAUAAACACCUCUCUACUUCUGACACCAGUAUAAACACCUCUCUACUUCUGACACCGGUAUAAACACCUCUCUACUUCUGACACCGGUAUAAACACCCCUACUUCUGACACCGGUAUAAACACCUCUCUACUUCUGACACCGGUAUAAACACCUCUCUACUUCUGACACCGGUAUAAACACCUCUCUACUUCUGACACCGGUAUAAACACCUCUCUACUUCUGACACCGGUAUAAACACCCCUACUUCUGACACCGGUAUAAACACCUCUCUACUUCUGACACCGGUAUAAACACCUCUCUACUUCUGACACCAGUAUAAACACCUCUCUACUUCUGACACCGGUAUAAACACCUCUCUACUUCUGACACCGGUAUAAACACCUCUCUACUUCUGACACUGGUAUAAACACCUCUCUACUUCUGACACCGGUAUAAACACCUCUCUACUUCUGACACCGGUAUAAACACCUCUCUACUUCUGACACCGGUAUAAACACCCCUACUUCUGACACCGGUAUAAACACCAUCUCUACUUCUGACACCGGUAUAAACACCCCUACUUCUGACACCAGUAUAGACACCCCUCUACUUCUGACACCGGUAUAAACACCUCUCUACUUCUGACACCGGUAUAAACACCUCUACUUCUGACACCAGUAUAAAACACCUUUCUACUUCCGACACCAAAACAAACUAAUUCCAUUUCCAUGUGUGCCUUUAACUUCUCUGUGUUGAGCAUUAUAUGAGCUAGCAGUAUGUGAGGUCACAAUACAUGAUUUGUCAAUGAAAUCAAACAACAAGUCUAUAAACAACAUUUCAAACUUUAUUUUUAAUGACAUAAUGGAAUGAGAUGGUAUCAUACAAGAUUUAAAAGUCAUACAAAGUCUAUUUAUCAACUGAUGCAAGUCCAAAUCUAAAAUGGAUUAUUUGAGAACUACAUCUGAUAAGUUACCCAAGCGGUAGCUUGUCAUCAUAAAAUCUUUUCUGUGAACACUGAGUUACUUACAAAAAUCAAAACAUUGGUAAUUAUUUCAUGAUAUUCACAAAUUAAAAACAGACCACCACAUAUCCUGUAUAAAAGCUAGUCCUAAGCACUAAAAUUUGUGCACGUUCACUUAAGUUUGGGUAGAUAUACUUUAUAUCUUUUGUAAACAAUGCACACAUAUAUGUGGUAUACUACAUGUUUUCUAACCUCUUGUAAAUCACAAUAGCUAAUGGUGAAAAGCUAGUACAAAACAAAAUAUGGCCUAAACCAGCAAAAAGUUAUGCUCUGUUUGACCCUUAUGUGGAAAUAUAAUCUUAUACAUGUAUAUAUCUGUGCUCGAUUCCCAUCUAUCAGUUUUCCUUACCUAUACCUGACAUGAACAUACCAUUUCUUUGGGUCCAACUAAAUUCACCUGAUGCAAAGUAUUAAAUUAUUUUCACACUGGAUACAUUUGCCUACACAUAGGGAACCAAAUAUUGGUUUCUAAAUGUGCAAUUGAAAGCAAGAAAGAUUUUUUUCUUCUUCAUUUUAAUAACCUGAGUAAAUUGAUAAAAUACCCUUAUUUUGCAAUUGUUCGAUUUGAUUCUUAAAAGUACCCGGGGCAGGAGCAUAUGCAAAAUUCAAUAUCAUUGGAGAGAUUUGUUCUCAUGGUGACAAAAUCUGAAGAUGGUAAUUAUAUCUAGAUUUAUAUAUUGUACACAUGCGAUGAAAAUAAAAUAAAAAUUCGAGAUUUAUCAGUCAAAUAAUCUUAAUUUGGGAUCUUCUCGUGAUUUUAUACACUUUCAAAACAGAUUUACAUUUUCUACCUGUAUGUGUAAAGAAGUGUUGGUAGCUACAUACAGACUGGAUGUUCUGGUCUUUUAUGUAAUUUCUAGAACAAACUUUGUUUUUUAAAAGAAUAUUCAUUGUUGUAAAUUUUCCUAUAAAGGGAGGUAAUCAAAUUGAACAAUAUCAACAUAAAUGCAUAAAUCUACACGUGAAUAAUAAUACCAGUUGUUGCAUUCCAAUCUAAAACUUCUAUCAAUGUACAAAUACUCUCUAUGUACAAAUAUAUGCCCUAUGAGUAACAAUAUGCAAAACAGCUCUAAUACAUUUACAAUUCAACACUGGCAUUGAUUACUUCAUCCAGUUUGGGAAGUGGUUGGUCCCAUAUUCCACAAAACAUCAAACAGAAGUCUCCCUUGUAUCCUGUAUGUAAAAUGCUCUUUAUCUCUGUAUUUUCAAAAUGUUUAAAUUCAUAACUAUAUAAAUUAAGAUUCAAUAUUACCAUUGAAUGCAAAAUUGGAAAUCUGUUGUAGAAAAAAAAAAUACAUGUAUUCCAAAAUUAAGAGUUAAUAAAAAAUUCACAAAAUCCUGAACGGAGUGAAUGAAGAUAUGUUUCAAUAUUUUAUGAAACAAAGAAAUCUGUCCUGUCAAAAUAUAUCAAGCCAAGUUCUAUUGAUCCCAACUCUUGGGAGUCUAAAGCCAGUGUCCUAAAUGCUCCAUGUUAGCUAAGCCUGCAAGCAAUGCACCAUUCAAAUCGUAACAGUCACAUUUUCAUUUCUUAGACCAAAUGCAAUAUCAUAAAU